GAUGAACGCUAGCUACAGGCUUAACACAUGCAAGUCGAGGGGCAGCAUGGUCUUAGCUUGCUAAGGCCGAUGGCGACCGGCGCACGGGUGAGUAACACGUAUCCAACCUGCCGUCUACUCUUGGACAGCCUUCUGAAAGGAAGAUUAAUACAAGAUGGCAUCAUGAGUCCGCAUGUUCACAUGAUUAAAGGUAUUCCGGUAGACGAUGGGGAUGCGUUCCAUUAGAUAGUAGGCGGGGUAACGGCCCACCUAGUCUUCGAUGGAUAGGGGUUCUGAGAGGAAGGUCCCCCACAUUGGAACUGAGACACGGUCCAAACUCCUACGGGAGGCAGCAGUGAGGAAUAUUGGUCAAUGGGCGAGAGCCUGAACCAGCCAAGUAGCGUGAAGGACGACUGCCCUAUGGGUUGUAAACUUCUUUUAGAAAGGAAUAAAGUCGGGUAUGGAUACCCGUUUGCAUGUACUUUAUGAAUAAGGAUCGGCUAACUCCGUG
rnacentral:rRNA from 1 species